GAUGAACGCUGGCGGCGUGCCUAAUACAUGCAAGUCGAGCGAACAGACGAGGAGCUUGCUCCUUUGACGUUAGCGGCGGACGGGUGAGUAACACGUAGGUAACCUACCUAUAAGACUGGGAUAACUUCGGGAAACCGGAGCUAAUACCGGAUAAUAUUUCGAACCGCAUGGUUCAAUAGUGAAAGAUGGCUUUGCUAUCACUUAUAGAUGGACCUGCGCCGUAUUAGCUAGUUGGUAAGGUAACGGCUUACCAAGGCAACGAUACGUAGCCGACCUGAGAGGGUGAUCGGCCAAACUGGAACUGAGACACGGUCCAGACUCCUACGGGAGGCAGCAGUAGGGAAUCUUCCGCAAUGGGCGAAAGCCUGACGGAGCAACGCCGCGUGAGUGAUGAAGGUCUUCGGAUCGUAAAACUCUGUUAUUAGGGAAGAACAAACGUGUAAGUAACUGUGCACGUCUUGACGGUACCUAAUCAGAAAGCCACGGCUAACUACGUG
rnacentral:rRNA from 1 species